AGGUUGCCUGUGUCUGUACCCCGUUUCAUCUUCACUUCUGGGAACCAGGCUGAUGGAGAAGUCUUCUAGCAGAAGUACUAUGGGUCAUGAUGGCAGAAAGAAGAGCAAACUUGGUGGACCAUGUGCUGGCCCUUGAUGGGUCUACUCAGAUGGGUCACGUAUCUCUGCUCACAAGAAUACCACAGACUGGAUAUUUUACAACAAAAAGAAAUGUAUUUCCCGCAGUUCUCUGGAGUUUGGGAAGUCCGGUAUCAAAGUGCCAGUGUCUCGUGAGGGCCUUCUUGCUACCUCAUACAGUGAUGGAAGUUAAAAGG
rnacentral:lncRNA from 10 species